ensembl:ncRNA C13C4.9 ncRNA
UUAGAACUUAAAUAUUUUAAUUUUCAAACUAAAUGAGAGUUCAUUGAAACGUUGUUACUUGAACUCGUAAUAAAUUAAACGUAUUAAGAGACACGGAAAAAAAAAAUGAAAAUUGAAGCAUUCGUGAGAUGAAAUGAACAGAAACAGGAAACUGUCGGAUUAAAUUAUUAAUUCAUAAUAAUCGGUUUGAUGGUCAG